rnacentral:misc_RNA from 1 species
ACAAAAACCUUUCAACUCCUGUUUGUUACUUUGAAUUAUUUAUUCAUUUGCUUUGAGACAAUGUCACUCAUGGGAAAUGGGGAACUAAAAUGGACUAGUUCGGUGGAGUGUCUUGAUCUGGUAGUUUUAAGUGUGACCAAGUUGUCACGGUUAUAUGUUCUGACCACAACUAAAUCUUGUGUCUUCCAUACUGUAUACUUCCUUUCAGUUA